ensembl:lncRNA
CCCAGGUGUCCCUGUCUAUCUGUUAACUGUCUCUCUGUCCCCCAGGUGUCCCUGUCUAUCUGUUUACUGUCUCUCUGUCCCCCAGGUGUCCCUGUCUAUCUGUUAACUGUCUCUCUGUCCCCCAGGUGUCCCUGUCUAUCUGUUUACUGUCUCUCUGUCCCCCAGGUGUCCCUGUCUAUCUGUUAACUGUCUGUCUGUCCCCCAGGUGUCCCUGUCUAUCUGUUUACUGUCUGUCUGUCCCCCAGGUGUCCCUGUCUAUCUGUUAACUGUCUCUCUGUCCCCCAGGUGUCCCUGUCUAUCUGUUUACUGUCUGUCUGUCCCCCAGGUGUCCCUGUCUAUCUGUUUACUGUCUGUCUGUCCCCCAGG